GAUGAACGCUAGCUACAGGCUUAACACAUGCAAGUCGAGGGGUAACGAGAGGAAAGCUUGCUUUCCUUGUCGACGACCGGCGCACGGGUGAGUAACCCGUAUCCAACCUGCCCCCAACUAGGGAAUAACCUUGCUAAAGUAAGACUAAUACCCUAUAAUUUCCUCAGAUGUCAUCUGACGAGGAAUAAAGAUUUAUCGGUUGUGGAUGGGGAUGCGUCUGAUUAGCUUGUUGGCGGGGUAACGGCCCACCAAGGCAACGAUCAGUAGGGGUUCUGAGAGGAAGGUCCCCCACAUUGGAACUGAGACACGGCCCAAACUCCUACGGGAGGCAGCAGUGAGGAAUAUUGGUCAAUGGGCGGAAGCCUGAACCAGCCAAGUAGCGUGCAGGAUGACGGCCCUAUGGGUUGUAAACUGCUUUUAUACAGGAAUAAAGUUAGCCACGUGUGGUUAUUUGUAGGUACUGUAUGAAUAAGGACCGGCUAAUUCCGUGCCAGCCGCCGCGGUAA
rnacentral:rRNA from 1 species